GUAGUCUAUGAAAGCACCAUCAUUUAUUUAACCAGUCCCUUCUUGUUGGACAGUUAGGUUGUUUUCAAUUUCUCUCUAUUAAUGUUAGGGAUGCAAUAAACAUCCUUAUAUGCAGGAGCAACUUUUAAAAUACAUAACAGCUGGGAUGGUCUGCGCUUGGGCACCAACCACUUGGAGUGGGCAGUAGUCACAAAUGGGCUGGUUUGGUGGCACUGUGUCUUCACUGCAUGGACACUUAUCUCUGUACACCCCCUGUGCUUUCCCUGGAUACGAUCCAAGAAGCAGAGUUUCUGACUGGCCCAAAGGAUAAGUGAACAUUUUAAGACUUUGACAUCGAUGUCUAAAUAUCCCCAGACUCAUUCUCACUCUAAAAGAGAUUCUAAAAGUGUCUAAAGGAUUCUAACAGAAUCUCCACUUUCCAUUCUUACAGCUGCUUGUCUAGAAAUAGGUCAAAAAGGCAUUGGGAUGGAAUUUCUCACCAGAAACUCCCCAAGAACAGCCAGGCUUAUGGUCUCCUUCAGAGACUGAUAACGCUCAUGGCUGAUAGGAUGGCCAAGGUCCCUGCAGAAAGCCCGAGGGAGGGAGGUUGGAGAUGCGAGCAUCCGGCUGAGUGUCCCUGGCUGCUUCAUGGCGCUGCAGGAAGGCGGCCAGGAAACCUGGACCGACCCAGAGAGGAGACUCUGAUGUACACAGGGCAGAUCUCCCGACCCAGGCACCUCGUGUUCCUUCAAGCUGCCUCCAGCCUGGCCUCUUGUCUCCUGGAAGCCACUAGACAAGCCACCUCCCCCCGGGGUGGCUCUGGCGGGCCACUCCUCCCUCUGGACACCCACGAGCCUCCCUCCUGAGGCACCAUUAGGAACAGAGGCAGAGCUCAGGAUGAAGAUGGUCAUUCCUACCUCAAAGGUUUGUGACAGCAGAGUUCGGCACGUCGUACUCCCCCAACCAACAAUCAUCAGAAACGUAACUGUAACCAGAUUACCAGACUGCCGUCUCCUGGUCCACUGCUGCGUGUGUGAUCUCAGAUGACCCAUCCACCACUAAGAGCAUUUGGAAUGGUCAUUAUAAUUAUUCUUGAAAUGCUCUAAUGGCAGGACGUGGGAGCGCUCUUCAGAUCCAGUCAAUUUUAUUAAAAAUCCAGGCCACAGAGAAGAGGCUCCAUCAAACUUCUCAGGUUAUAUUUUAAAAGAGAAUGCUUAUCUUUUAGAGACAUAUAUUGAAAUAUUUCAGAUAAAAUGGCAUGAUGACAUAGAUUUGCUUCAAAAUAAUCCAGUGGAAAGGGGGCAAUUUGCGUGAAGGAACUAAUGAGACGAAAGUGGCCAGACCUUGAAGGCUGUUGUAGCUACAGGACGAACACGUGGGACUUUAAUUUGUAUUCUCGCGUCUUUGUGUCUGAAAUGUUUCAUAAUAGAAAGCACCUUUUAAAAGCUCUCCAAAGAACUUCAUGAGAAAGAUACUCUAAUUUCCUUCUCUUUCUCC
rnacentral:lncRNA from 9 species